CUCGCUUUCGCGCCGGGUGCCCGGCUCCUUCCUCUCGGCGAGGGUGGGCCGGCCGGUAUCACCGUGACAUCACCUCCAUUCACGGCGCUUAUCCGGCGCCCGCGGCGCUCCAGGUUCUCCGGACAUCAGCUCCUGUCCCCUGCAGCCCUGCCUCAGGCAGGUGAAGGACUGGACUGUCUGUUGCCUGAUCAUGGAUCACCACCCGGGAGUCCUUUGCAAAGGGGCCCCACUCUCAAGGGCUGAGCCCUGGGGAAAUGUAGGACAGUUUCUGAGAACUGUUUGCUCUUCCCUCUUCACUCCAGCUCCCUUCUGGAAUAGGAUCUGUCUUCAAAGGACAAAGCAAGUCCCUCAGCGCAGAUGGCCUGGGCCCCUAGGUGUCCAGGAUUUCUGUUGCACUCCACUUCAGUCCCUGGACCUGGGUAGGGAGAAUGGAAUUGGGAGCUGCCGCCCCCAUGCCACCCUAACCCUCACCCUAGUGGGCAGGGCUGUACCCACGCAGCCUACCAUGCUAGAAAGGGAGGUUCUCGUGAGGUACUGUGCUUUUUCAGACUUCAAUCACAGGGUCAUCUGUGUCCCCUGGUGCCCCUCAACCUUAGUUAAUAACAACCCAGCAGGCAUGGAACCCAUUGUGAACUCCCAUUUCACCAGAAAGUAACCCUUUGAGACAUGGUCCCUGCAGGUGCUGCACACCCACUGUUCCCAGCCUUCCUGGCCUUCCUGGAUUGAGGCAGAGCACCCCACUGCCCCCCAUCUGCCCUCUCCCAAGCAUCUGAUUUUUACUGGAAGGUAGAAUGUCACCACCUUUACUCACUGGAAAGCCCCUUCUUUUAGCUGCCUGGGUUCCCUCAAUCCUGGAAUCUGAGGUACUCGCAGGGCCAGGGUGCCAUCUGCCAGCUGUGUGACCAGCAGGUCACUUCAUCUCUCUGCACCCCACCUUCCUCUACUGCAAAAUGGAGGUGAUAACACCAUCCCCAUCUGUGAUAACACCUCUCCUAUCUGUGACUGCCUAACCUCUCUGAGCCUUAGGCCUUUUAGCUAAAGACAUCUGGCAGUUUUGAACCCAAACUUCUGUAGAAUCUGCUUUUCUGACACUUUCAACUCCACAUCACCAUCAGGAGAGCCAUGCUUGAUCACUCUUUGGGACGCAUGCCCUAAGCCUUCACCUGUGCUGGUCUUUCUACCUGAGAUGUCCUGUCCCUCCCACCUCCUGUCUCUGUCUGGCCAAAAAUUUUUGCAAAUCUGCCUGCCUCAGAAUGAGGCCUUUCUCAGUUUCCCCAAGAGGAACCACUGUGAGCUGCCCACUUACCCCCAGUCCAUUAUGCAUUUGUUUAUCGUUUCUCCUGGUGUAUCAUAAGUAACCUUUUGAGCCUUUCUCAAGAGCAGGGACUCUUCUUACUAUCCGUCCCCAGAGCCUUUCUCAAGAGCAGGGAUUCUUCUUACUAUCCGUCCCCAGCAUCUGGCACACAGCCUGGAGCAUGGUAGAUAUUUUCAGCAAAUGUCUAUGGAAUAGCCGUUAUUCUGCUGCCAAGUGCUCUACCUCUGAGCUGUACUUGCAAGGAAUAGCCACUAGUCUGUAGGAGACCACUGCUGACCUUCCCUCUCAUACAGCACCCUUGCAAAUGGUGCCACAACUUCCCCGCGACAGGCAAGCAUCUUUUCUGCUGGAGAAUCCCACCUCUCCUGGGCCAGCCAGCAAGCCCCGCACCAGAGCCCAGGAUAGGGCCCCUGGCAACCCAGUUUUAGCAUGGAGGAGCCCAGCCAGGGAGUGCUAGAGGUCACUAAGUCCCUCAGAGGAGCUGCCUUGUCCCCACUCCCUGUCCUGGGUCACGGUUUCAGCUUUUCUUCCUCCAUGGAGGGGCAGGCCAACCUCCUCUUUUUAGCGGGUGGAGGGUCCUCAGUGCAGUGAGAACAGUGCCCCCCUGAACUAAGGGUAGGUCCAGGCUCCCUGAUAGGUAGGGGCCUUGUUCCUGAACUGGGUGGCCAGGAGCCCCGCCACCUGCAGCUGGUUAAUAGUUUGCAUUUCACCUGGCCUUGCCCUCGGGCUCUGCAUUAACUGGUUACAGCCCCUGCUGCAUGCUUUGUUGGGCCUGGUCUUUUUCUUGGUCUCACAGGACUUCCUGCUUGGAGCAGCAGAGGCUGCGUGGGUUUUGUUUUAGAGGGGCCUGCGAUAUCAUGAUGGCCCUUUAAGAAGCAGGAAGCCAUAUGAGUUAAAGACUCAUUCACCUCAACUGGCUACCCGUGGGUGACCCCUCUGGAAAUGUCCCCGGACCGAAGCAGGCUUUGGAUAGAGCCUGCUAGAAUGCCACCUGACCGGGAGCCCUUCUACAAACCUGCGUCUGCGUCCACAGCUCAGUGGCCGCUGACCAACUCCCUGGGAGCAGAGAACUGGAUUUUCUGAGUUGCCCAGAUCUGGCCAGCCUCCAUCAACAGACUUAGUGAAUCCUAAGAGCCAGAUCUUAAAGCAAGGGUCCAGACAUGCAGGCCACUCAACCCGCCACCCUCUCCAGAAACAAAAAGGAAAUGUGUGACCACACAGUAUUUAGCUUCCCCGCCUUCAGGAGUCUGCCCGCCAUCUGAGAGCAUUUCAAGGGUGAGCAGGACUUCCGUCUCACCCCAAUAGCUGCACUAGCCCCCAAAGUGAUGAUCCUGCUUGCAUUGUCCCCUCCAGUCACCCUGUGAGCCCUCAUCUAAUGUGGGUCAUUCCCUGAUUUUACUCCAGGGCUCUAUAACACCUUCCUUGGCUCCUGAUGCCUUUAAAGACCAGACCCCCUUGCCCAGCAUUCAAGGCCUCUGCAGCCUGUAUCCAACAGGGGCUCCUUCCUCUUCCCCACAGGAAAUGGUCACUCUGGCCUGAGCCUGCCUCCUGACUGCCUUCCUGUGACUUGCUCCCAUUGUCCUUACACUCAAUCCAAGAUGCCCUCCUCUUAGAGACCAUGUCCUAGAGCCCUGGGCUGUCCUGCAAGCAAGUGCUGGUGACCUCAGAGUUCUCUUUCCCCCAGAACUCUGCCGCCCCCAUUUGCUAAUCUUACCUUUUUUUGCAUUGUUAAUUAUCUUAUACAGAGAUACCUUGCCUCCCUAAUGCUGGGAGGCCCUGUAGGAAUGAAUUCUAGAUUCUGCCCCUCUCCUUCCCAGCACAAUGCUUUCUGCAUCCAAAUAAUAAAAAAAAAAGGGCAUUAAAUAUUGGUGAUUGUAUUGAUUGACCAAAAGAGAGGCUGCUGUCAGCCUUUCUAAGUGGGAGGGGGGAGAGGACGACACAGGGUCAGCAAGAAUCCAGUGUCCAGAACCCCAGGCCAAGGAGUUCAGAGAUCUGGCUUGUCUGAUGAUAUAAUACCCCCAUGUGGUGCUGUACAAUUUCAAAUCGUUUUUUACAUAAUUUGAUGCUUUCGACCAUAUAAGCAUCCAAAAGGGUAGGUCCGAAUCCAUAAGGCAGAUGUCAUUAUCUCUGUUUUAUAGACUUAAAAACUGAGGUUCACAGAGGCCAAGACCCGCUGUGGAUUUGGACUUGGUCUUUACUGUCUGUGCCCUGACUGCUUUCCUCGCCUCUUGUAUAGCCCUUAGAAUGUCCCGCCUGUGGAUAGGUAUUUAUGCACCUGUCCCGCCCCAGCCGAGGCACAGGCUUGGAGGAAGGGUGAAAGCCCCCUUCAUCUUCCUGUUUCCCUUCCUGCCCUCCCGGAAGGAGGCCUCACUUCCCAUCGCAAGGUGGCCAGCCGUGGGCGGCUGCCCUUCCUCUUCCAGAAUCCCCUUCACCUUCAGAAGCCAGCCUCCACUCCAGGGCCCUGCCUUCUUGGCCUGUGGCCUCUGAUGGUCACAUCCACCCUGCACACUCUGCACAUGUGGCCAUUUGGCCCUUCACCAGCCUCUGCAGCCACCACCAACAUAGCGUACUCAACAAACCCUUUAAAAGACCCACUCACUGCCCCACCCCUUGCCUGGAAAUUUGAGGCUGCCCCAACCUCUAAUCCAGCCCAGACCCCUAGCAAUGUUGGGAGAGUCAUGGGACCACAGGGGACCCAGAGAUGGGUUCCUCCAGCAGGGCCGGGCCGGGCAGGGCCGGGCAAGGCCCACCAGCUGGCUUCUGGGCCCUGUCCAGUCCCAGCUGUUCCUGGCACUAUUUGGGGCUUGACUGCCUCCCUCACCGGAAGGCCAGUUGCGGUGCAGCCUGGGCUGCCGGGAACCGGUGCGCUAUUCUGGGAGUGUGAUGGGGCUCAGAGGCCUGGCGGCGGCUGGAACCUCAGCCCCUUUGGUUUCCAGACUGCGCUCCUCCCCUCUGAUGAUAAGGCAGCCUUCAGUCAUUAUGCAAAGUUCAGAACCACCGACGGCACGUUGGAGGGUCUUAAUGGCCCUUGUGGUUGUGCUAAAGUGGGACGUGGGCAGAAGCGGCCUGCGCGUCAGCCUCCGGAGGCAGCAGCCCUCACUCUCGCUGUCACUCACGUAGCCCAGGGUGCUUUUCCUUCAGCUCGUCCUCUCGCCCCCCACCCCUUGCCGCAUUAGCCCAGGCACGGGAUCUGGCUCCAUCCCUCCCUGUCAAAUCCAGGGGCAGAUUUCCUCUGUGGCCUUUUUUCUUUCUCUUUUUAAAUUGAAACUGGAUAUUUCUGCAACGUAAGCAAUACAAGUACGAACACUGAGUUUGGUUGACAAAAGAUUAACCCAACUUAGAGCAAAAUUAAGCCCUUACGAUUGACCUGGUUUGGGUAGGAGCCUGGAGAUUUAUGAUCCUGGUGUGGAACUAGAAGCCAGGACGGGAAGAGAGUCUGCCCUACCCAGGGUCACUCGCUGGUGGACAGGAAACAGAUAUCUGGACCUGUUCUGAUCGCGGAAUCCAGCUCCCUAGGCAAGGAGCCUGUGAGCCUGCCUGACAUCCUCGCCCCACACGUGCCUAGAGAUGCAGGCGGGCCUUGGGAAUCGAUGAGGCCAGGUUAGAAAGAACUGUGGGAGUCCACCAGGAGGAGCAGGCAAACCACAGCACAGGAUGCCCUGGAAGGAUUCUGGCCAGGCAGUCCAGGCUGGCCGCCUCUUAGAUAACAGUGGACUUGAGGAUUAGCAGAAGCAGGGCCAACGUGGGGAAGUGUGGAGGGUCCACAGCUGAAGUGCUCCAGGGGGUGAGCGCCUACCUCUUUCUUCUAUUCCUCCCCAGGAGCGGAUCUUCGUUCCACAUGGUGGAAGGGAUGAUUAAGGAACAGCAAGUUGCUGUGAGACAUCUCCUCUGUUCUCUUGCCUUCUUAUUCCCCGGCUCCAAAUAUUUUCCAGCCCUGUGUGAAGUCAUCCCUGUCAAGUUCAAGAUUCACCUCCUCCUUCACAGUCCCCUGGGAGUGUAUGAAGACUACAGGCUUCUGAACCUGUUCGAUAACAAUCUCCAAGUGCAACAGACUAUUAGGUCUCAUAAAGUUUGAGCCACUGAAGUAGGAAUCCCUUUGGGAUAAAAGCAGUGCUUCCUGCAGGAAAUCUGGCCUCAUUCGCUCGACCUUGGACUGUGUCCUGCUAUCAAGUAUGGGGCAGGAGCCACAGGUAGAAGAGAAGGGAGAUGGGCACUUAUUCUAGGGGAGCCUGUGACUCUCCUGCGUGUCCAAGGUCAUUUUGAUCACUGGAACUGAAGCAGCUGGCACAGUAGAGAUUUACUCCCAACUGCCCUUGCGCCUAAUACCGUAUUGCAUUUCAAAACAGCUGUCUUGCUCUCCCAGCCACUUCCUAACUAGGGCUGCAAACGGCCCAGCUUGGCUCCCUCCCUGUCCUUGGACCUGCUCUGGCAAUGAAAUGUGAUCCAGAAAAGCCCCUUUUGCAUGGGCCCCGCCCACCGCCUGCUCCUGCACACCUUCCUAACAGCUCCCCAGUGGGGCAGAGGGGCUCUCGGCCCAGAAUCAGACCCAGAGCCACAAACGGACCCCAGGGGCUGCCCUCCCCACCCCGACAUGAUGUGCACAGCCAGCUGUUGACAAGCACACCACGGACAGGGGUGCUCCAAGUUCUAGACUCACAGAGCCUCUGAUGCCCCUGGCGGAUCUGCUUCUGGGUUCCAGUUCUGUCUUGGGAGUCAGGGGACCCCGGUUUAGGAUUCGGCUUGACUGCCCAGGGUAGCCCUGGAGAAGUCCUCUCAGCUUCUUGAGCUGCUUUCUCACCCAUAUAAUAACAAGAGCUAACGUGGUUACCGGAUAGGACUGUUAGAAGUUAACAUUAACUCCUUGGCCCCAACAAUCUUAUGAGGUGGAUGCAAUCACUCUACCUACUCGUAAAGGGAAAUUGGCCGGGUGUGGUGGCAUAUACCUGUCAUCCCAGCUACUGGGGAGGCUGAGGCAGUAGGAUGGCAAGUUUGAGGCCAGCCUGGGCAACUUAGAAGUUGUCUUAAAAUGAAAAGGGCUGGGGAUGUGGCUCAGGGGACAGUGCUCCCGGCUUCAGUCCCCAGUACCAAGAGUAAAUGAGGACACUGAGGGAAACAAGCAGCGUAUUCAGGGUCAGUUGGUAGGAACUGAUGGUCACCCCAGGACCUGACCACUAUGUAUGCUGCUUCUGGUGGGAUAAGAAGACUAUAUGAGCUGUCUCCGUGAAACUGGGCGGUGUGAACAGAAACACUCAUGAUGGCGGUGUCUGUGGCCAGGGAUUGGAGGGGCUUGAGUGGAGGGUCAGGCCCAGGGCAUCUCAUCUGGUUGCAGUCAAGAUGUUGGCUGGGGCUUCCGCGGUCACCCAAAGGCUCACCUAAGGUGGGGGGAUCUGCGUCCAGGGUAGCUCACUCUCUGAGGCCAGGUGUUGGCUGGGAGCUGCAGGUCCUCACUACAGACCUCUCCAUAGGCUGUUUGUGUGGUGUUGGUUGGUUGGUUGGUUGGUUGGUCCUGGGGGUUGAACCCAGGGGUGCUUAACCACUGAGCCACAUCCCCAACUUUUUUUUUUUAAAGAGAGAGAGAGAAUUUUAAUAUUUAUUUUUUAGUUUUCGGCGGACACAACAUCUUUGUUUGUAUGUGGUGCUGAGGAUCGAACCCGGGCCGCACGCAUGCCAGGAGAGCGCGCUACUGCUUGAGCCACAUCCCCAGCCCCCCAUCUCAGCUUCUGCUGUACGCGACCUCUCCUGGUGUCUAGCAGUGUGUUCAAGGUCACUUGGUAGGAACUGCUUACAUGGCUUUCUUUAAAGGACAACAGGCUUAUUGGGUUUAGGACCCACCCUAAGCCUAUAGAACUGCAUCUUGGUGUGAUUACAUCUGCAAAGAUCCUAUUUGCCAAUAAGGGCACCUUCACGGGUCCCUGGGGUCAGGACUGAUGCGUACCUCGUGGGGUGCCCAGUCGGCCUCCAGCAUGUGCAGUGUAAUGUGGGAGGUCCUGCCUGGGUAGGAGUUGCUGUCUCCCUCACUGCAGUGGUGAUGUUGGAAGUAGUGAUCAUGGGAGCUGGAGAAAGAGUGUUGGUUGGAGCCCAGCACAGUGGCCACGCCUGGAAUUCCAGAGACUCAGGAGGCUGAGGCAGGAGGAUCACAAGUUUGAGGCCAGCCUGGGCAACUUAUUGAGACAGUGUCUCAAAACAAAAUUUCAAAAGAAGAGGUGAGAUACAGUUCAAAGGUAGCACUCUCCUAGCUUCAAUCCCCAGUACAGGGCGGAGGGGGGGGACAAAGUGUGAUUAGAAUGGACAUCCUGUUGAUGUCACUGUCAUUUCAUGGCCACACAGGUGGGCAAUUCUUUAAGUCUCUCUGAAAGCCCUUGAUGUCUAGGCCAUUUUUCCAAGUGUGGCUGUUCUCUCACUGGAACUUCCUCAUGGUUUUCCAUGGAUUCUGUCCAUUAAAAUCUUCUCCAUCAA